UAAAUAUCUCGAGGAACUUGAUGAAAUGAAUUGGUCAGCCCGAGGUAAAGUAUUGAAUCAAUAUUUGAGCAACAUGCACUUCAAUUGGAACGACAGUAAUGAUAUCUUCUUCUUAAUGUUUUUCAAGGUUGUCGAGGAUCUAAAAGACCGAGUACAAAGAUUGCCAAAUUUCAAGCAGAGGUUAAUACAUACGAGAAAAAGAUUAUUAAGUUUACAAUCAAUAGAAAAUAAAAGGUACGUUUUUAAUAAAAAUCUUGUCAAAAAAGCGAACUAUGUGGCGGUGCAGUGGGGGAGAGAAGUCAUGCGAUGAAAAAUCAAGUAACAGCCCCCUCCUAUCUGGACACACUCAGCGAGGUAUUUCUUGGCAGUAUUGUAACCCGACUGUAACCUUCUGAAAGAAUGACCGCAAUCCGCCCUUCAUGCACAAAUAUUUGUCUAGUUAUAGUAAGAAACUAUCUGAGCUGAACAAUCCAAUUUUUACUAAUUUUUGCUUAUCUUCAAGUGAACCUCAACUCAACUUGUUCCAAGGUGUUGUUGUCUUAGAAGAAUUUUGUAAGGUAAGUAUUCAACAUUUGUGACACUAUUUCCAACACAUAUGUAUGCAUUUUCCCGAAAAGAUUAACAUGUUUUUUAUUGGCUUUUCCAAACAAAAUAGUUUUGUUUUGUUUAUAACUAACCAACCACAUGCAGGACCUUUUUCUAUAGCAGGGCUCGAAAUAACGUUUCCAGCGUUCCCGAUCAUGCUGAUAAGCAGUCAUGAUUUUCUGCUGAUCAAAUGAAAAUCUGGCCAAUCAGUAUAUAGGAUACGUUCUGUUUAUAUGUUCUGUGAUAAUACCGUAGUAUUGCAUGGUGUCUGUUAACGACAUUAACCAUGUUUUUGAGACGAUGGUUCUUGCCGAUCAAGAUAAUCGACAAUCUUGCUUCUCUGAUCAUUGAUCGUUGAUCGGCCGUUAUUUCGAGCCCUGCUAUAGCUUCGUGGUAAGCCACAUUUUUCUUCCUCUCUUCUAGGAAUUGGCAGCCAUUGCUUUUGUGAAAGCAACCAAUACGAUGAAGGAAAGAUGACAGUAAAAAUUGACACAAUUACUGUACCUAGGAAUUUAUAGAAUUUAAAUUAUGAGGGUGUGUAAAUAUAUAUAUAUAUAGGAACAUAACAUAAUAACAAUAGUAUAUUAAUGGCUAUAGCUACGUAAAAAUAUGCAUGGUGACGUUUAGCAAAGGGGGUAUAGCUAUAUAUAGUACGUAUUAGGCCAUUGUGGGAAAAAGUGCCUAUAGAAAAGCAAUUUCGUGCCACCCCCUGGGGAAUAGAUUUUCUGUGGUUCAAUGCAUAGUACCAUGCAUAGAUGCUCAAUUACCAAAAAAAGUUCCCAAGCAGAAAACUUGCCCAAUAUCGGGAAAAUGGGUGAUCAGUGAUUAUCCUCUAUUAAAUUGUAUUACAGCAAGAAAUGUGAAAUUUUGUAUUCAUUUACAAAAAAAGACUUGCAUCAUCAGAAAGCUUACAAAAAUCAACAUAUAAGUCAAAUAAGACAUUUAUACAGUUGUUUUUUUAUAUCUCAAAUUAUUUUCGAGUUAUCCGCUGUCAAAAGUCCUUAAUGAAAAUUUCGAGUGUAAUGUUUAUACAUUUUUAGACCUAUAAAUUAAGAGUUGAUGCAAAAAAGGAAAGUAAAAUUAUAUAUAUAUAUAUAUAUAUAUAUGGCCGUCUGGCAGGAGUUGAACCCAAACUGGUAACCAACUGAGCUACAGAGUCCAGUUGUAGAGAACUCUGGACUCUGUAUGGAAUAUUUAUACUAAAUAUUCCCGGAGGAGUUCUAACUUAAAUAUAAUACUGUAAGUAACAUCGUCACAUCGCCCAAAGUAGGUAAUAAAACCCGCAAGAAUUUCAAAUUAAUUUAUUAUAUCAUUGGGUUGUAUGCAUAUCAAAAUGUAAUAAAGGUUUUAAUUAAAACAUUGAGC
rnacentral:lncRNA from 1 species